GUGACUUGUAGGUUCAGGCUCAGGCCGCUGUGCGAGAGGAGACGCGGCCCUGGGUUCCCGAGCCGAGCCGUGGACUCCUUCCAGAUCCCCGCCGCGGCACGGAGCAGUCGAAGCCUGGAGCAAUUAUGCUGGCGGGGCCCGCACCCUUCUCCCAGCCUCCUCCAAGAUGACUCAGCCCCAGUGAGGCCCCUAAUUGUCUCAACCUGUGCGGACGCCCAGCCACAGCCCGGCCCGCCCCAAACCCGCACUACUGGAUCCCCGAGGGCCGCAGAGGCUGUCCGGGUUUUUGUUUCCGGGAAACAGGGAGCUAGCUGUCCCCCUCUCCUCUGCCUCGGGGGAGGGGACAGUCCUGGCCAGGUGGGCCAGGAUUCCCAGCGCACUGUCCACAAGAACGCAGGGGCCUGCUGCACGCACCACGUGUUCCUUGUGAUUUUCACUGGGGAGAGAUGGGGUGGAGCGUUAACUGGAAGCUGGAUUGGAAGUGGAGCAGCCGGGACUCGAACCAGCACCGCAGGUGUAGCCCCCUACGCCACACCACCGCCCCAGCUCCAAGCGUUAUUUCUGACCUCGUCUUCCUGGUCCCCACCGCUGCCUACCACGGCCCCCAGGAACUCCUGGCCCCAUGGGAAAGACACGAUUCUCAGGCACACGGAAGGAACCUCAGGGACGUGCGUGGCGUCUCACUCACCUCCACUGCUCUGCCCAGCGCCCCGCACUCCUGGAAGACGGGAGCCCCCAGGGCCCUGGUGGCCCGCAGCUCUGCUGAUCCCCACCCCACCGCGGGGGGCACCACACCCCGCGUCACACAGCAGGAAUCCUCUUCCUGCAAAAUCCAGGAACUCACCCACCAUCACCGCACACAGAGCUGCGGCCGUGGGCUCUCAUUCCUCCCUCGGCCCUGGGGAGCUGCCCACAGGGCCUGCCGAGAGUGGGUCCGGAUUUGAUGUUGCAGAGAACAAAAAAGAAACCAGAGACCCCGUGGAGGAAACUCAGGGUCGGAGCUGCAGCCCCGCGGAAGCGCUGCCCAUAUGCUUAAUUGUGUUCCAAUUAUACAGAAUGUUCCAGAAUCGCCGCUCUGGGGUGGAGAGACGCUAA
rnacentral:lncRNA from 1 species